UACGUAGGGAGCAAGCGUUGUUCGGAUUUACUGGGCGUAAAGGGCGCGUAGGCGGCAAAUUAAGUCAGCUGUGAAAUCUCCGAGCUUAACUCGGAACUGUCAGCUGAUACUGAUCUGCUAGAGUGCGGAAGGGGCAAUCGGAAUUCUUGGUGUAGCGGUGAGAUGCGUAGAUAUCGAGAGGAACACCUGCGGCGAAGGCGGGUUGCUGGGCUGACACUGACGCUGAUGCGCGAAAGCUAGGGGAGCGAACGGG
rnacentral:rRNA from 1 species